rnacentral:rRNA from 1 species
UGAGGAAUAUUGGUCAAUGGGCGAGAGCCUGAACCAGCCAAGUCGCGUGAAGGAAGAAGGUUCUAUGGAUUGUAAACUUCUUUUGUAAGGGAAUAAAAAGAGUUACGUGUAACUUAUUGUAUGUACCUUGCGAAUAAGGAUCGGCUAACUCCGUGCCAGCAGCCGCGGUAAUACGGAGGAUCCGAGCGUUAUCCGGAUUUAUUGGGUUUAAAGGGUGCGUAGGUGGAUUGUUAAGUCAGUGGUGAAAGUUUUCAGCUCAACUGAAAAAUUGCCGUUGAAACUGUCGAUCUUGAGUGCAAAUGAGGUAGGCGGAAUGUGUUGUGUAGCGGUGGAAUGCUUAGAUAUAACACAGAACUCCGAUUGCGAAGGCAGCUUACUGGGAUGCAACUGACACUGAUGCACGAAAGCGUGGGUAUCAAACA